AUACAAGUGAUUUAAAUCACCUCUUUAUUACCCACCUCCUUGUUAGAGAGGACACCCUUGCUCUCAGAUUCCAAGAACCAGGUCUAAAAGGAGAAUGUGGAUUCUGGCUUCCAUGUUCAGGUGACUUUGAGUUUGGGAGAAGACCCAGAAAGAGCCAUGGGAAGUGCAGAAAGUGGGAACUGCUCCUGCUUACCUGGCCAGCUAAGAUGUCCUACUACGGUUAAGACCGAAAUCGCUCAGCAGCCACACGUUUCAAAUUGAGCCCGAAGACCAAAAUUCUGGCUUUCCUGUAAUUUGUUUUGACACGAUCUCAGGGAAGAGCGCUGCAAGCAAGAGACGAACACUGAGGACAACAGGAACCCUCUGUCAAACCGACAGACGACGAUGUGCCCAUUUCUUGCUGCAUAGGGUAUUCACCUUGCCGGGGCAUUCCGCGGAGACAUGGUUAACCCAAAUCAGACUGACACGUUGGCA
ensembl:lncRNA